GACGAACGCUGGCGGCGUGCUUAACACAUGCAAGUCGAACGGUGAAGGGGAGCUUGCUCCCCGGAUCAGUGGCGAACGGGUGAGUAACACGUGGGCAACCUGCCCCAGACUUCGGGAUAACGCUUCGAAAGAGGUGCUAAUACCGGAUACGAACUCCUUGGGCAUCCUUGGGGUUGGAAAGUUUUUCGGUCUGGGAUGGGCCCGCGGCCUAUCAGCUUGUUGGUGAGGUAACGGCUCACCAAGGCGACGACGGGUAGCCGGCCUGAGAGGGCGACCGGCCACACUGGGACUGAGACACGGCCCAGACUCCUACGGGAGGCAGCAGUGGGGAAUAUUGCGCAAUGGGCGGAAGCCUGACGCAGCGACGCCGCGUGGGGGAUGACGGCCUUCGGGUUGUAAACCUCUUUCAGCAGGGACGAAGCGAAAGUGACGGUACCUGCAGAAGAAGCACCGGCCAACUACGUGCCAGCAGCCGCAGUAACAC
rnacentral:rRNA from 1 species